CGGGUGAGUAACACGUGGGUAACCUGCCCAUCAGAAGGGGAUAACACUUGGAAACAGGUGCUAAUACCGUAUAACAAUCAAAACCGCAGGGUUUUGAUUUGAAAGGCGCUUUCGGGUGUCGCUGAUGGAUGGACCCGCGGUGCAUUAGCUAGUUGGUGAGGUAACGGCUCACCAAGGCCACGAUGCAUAGCCGACCUGAGAGGGUGAUCGGCCACAUUGGGACUGAGACACGGCCCAAACUCCUACGGGAGGCAGCAGUAGGGAAUCUUCGGCAAUGGACGAAAGUCUGACCGAGCAACGCCGCGUGAGUGAAGAAGGUUUUCGGAUCGUAAAACUCUGUUGUUAGAGAAGAACAAGGAUGAGAGUAACUGUUCAUCCCUUGACGGUAUCUAACCAGAAAGCCACGGCUAACUACGUGCCAGCAGCCGCGGUAAUACGUAGGUGGCAAGCGUUGUCCGGAUUUAUUGGGCGUAAAGCGAGCGCAGGCGGUUUCUUAAGUCU
rnacentral:rRNA from 1 species